GAUGAAGAACGUAGUAAAAUGCGAUACGUAAUGUGAAUUGCAGAAUUUUGUGAAUCAUUGAAUCUUUGAACGCACAUUGCGCCUUUUGGUAAUCCAGGAGGCAUGCCUGUUUGAGUGUCGGUUCAUCUCUUAAACAAGUAACUUUUGUUAUGAGUUUAGUGUUGGAAAUUGAGUUUUGGAGUAUUUUCAAUUCUCAUUUCUAUAAUCAAGCAUGUCAGCAUCUGUAGUUUGUUUUUCGUUGGAACAAGCUUUUUGUCAACUUUAAAAGAAACAACAUGAUGCGUAGUUUUUUAAAUGGGUUGCUGGCUUUGCUAGAAACCUCCUUUUAAAUAUGACCUCAAAUCAGGUAAGAAUACCCGCUGAACUUAAGCAUAUCAAUAAGCGGAGGA
rnacentral:misc_RNA from 1 species